UAGGUGGUCGAAGUCAUCCACACCAUGGAC
rnacentral:piRNA from 1 species